UGCAGCCAUGACACAUUCUCCAUAGACUACUGUACUCCAUAGGGAAACAUAAGCCUGCCAUAAAAAAACAAUGACUCUUGAAGCCAAAGAUAAGCCUAAUCAGUUCACCAACAAAGUCAAAGUGGGUUAUGAACAGCA